rnacentral:lncRNA from 1 species
UACUAUUUACUAAUUUUAGGGGACAGCCCACCAAUAGAAAAAAAGAAAAUAUAAUGGGUGGGUCUUUAAGGAUUGUACUUUGCUAAUAAUCAUACGUUUAGGUCAAAAUAAAUUAAUAAAUGGAAUGUAAAGAUCUUGGAUGUCAGCUCGAUUAAUUGAGCAUGGCCUUUUAAUCUCACUAGCUAGACAAAAUAUAUUUGUAAAGUAGCUUCUUUUUUUUUGUGUUUUUUAUAUCAUUAGUAAGGAGAUAAAUAUGUAAGAAUAUAUAGGAG